rnacentral:rRNA from 1 species
GAUGAACGCUGGCGGCGUGCCUAAUACAUGCAAGUCGAACGCUGGAGCUCUAGCUUGCUAGAUCGAAGGAGUGGCGAACGGGUGAGUAAUACAUAAGCAACCUACCCACGAAGACUGGGAUAAUCUCUGGAAACGGGGACUAAUACCGGAUAGGUAAUCGGAAGGCAUCUUCUGGUUAUUAAAUGUUAAAAACACUGGUGGAUGGGCUUAUGGCGCAUUAGUUAGUUGGUGAGGUAACGGCCCACCAAGACGAUGAUGCGUAGCCGGCCUGAGAGGGUGAACGGCCACAUUGGGACUGGGACACGGCCCAGACUCCUACGGGAGGCAGCAGUAGGGAAUUUUCGGCAAUGGGAGCAACCCUGACCGGGCAACGCCGCGUGAGUGAAGACGGCCUUCGGGUUGUAAAGCUCUGUUGUAAGGGAAGAACGGUAGAUAGAGAAUAUCUAAGUGACGGUACCUGACCAGAAAGCCACGGCUAACUACGUG